ACACAUGCAAGUCGAGGGGCAGCAUCAUCAAAGCUUGCUUUGAUGGAUGGCGACCGGCGCACGGGUGAGUAACACGUAUCCAACCUGCCGACAACACUGGGAUAGCCUUUCGAAAGAAAGAUUAAUACCGGAUGGUAUAGUUUUCCCGCAUGGGAUGAUUAUUAAAGAAUUUCGGUUGUCGAUGGGGAUGCGUUCCAUUAGGCAGUUGGCGGGGUAACGGCCCACCAAACCUACGAUGGAUAGGGGUUCUGAGAGGAAGGUCCCCCACAUUGGAACUGAGACACGGUCCAAACUCCUACGGGAGGCAGCAGUGAGGAAUAUUGGUCAAUGGACGAGAGUCUGAACCAGCCAAGUAGCGUGAAGGAUGACUGCCCUAUGGGUUGUAAACUUCCUUUAUACGGGAAUAAAGUGAGCCACGUGUGGCUUUUUGUAUGUACCGUAUGAAUAAGGAUCGGCUAACUCCGUGCCAGCAGCCGCGGUAAUACGGAGGAUCCGAGCGUUAUCCGGAUUUAUUGGGUUUAAAGGGAGCGUAGGCGGGUUGUUAAGUCAGUUGUGAAAGUUUGCGGCUCAACCGUAAAAUUGCAGUUGAUACUGGCGACCUUGAGUGCAACAGAGGUAGGCGGAAUUCGUGGUGUAGCGGUGAAAUGCUUAGAUAUCACGAAGAACUCCGAUUGCGAAGGCAGCUUACUGGAUUGUAACUGACGCUGAUGCUCGAAAGUGUGGGUAUCAAACAGGAUUAGAUACCCUGGUAGUCCACACAGUAAGCGAUGAAUACUCGCUGUUGGCGAUAUACAGUCAGCGGCCAAGCGAAAGCAUUAAGUAUUCCACCUGGGGAGUACGCCGGCA
rnacentral:rRNA from 1 species